rnacentral:lncRNA from 1 species
GAAAGACCAUUAACACUCUUGAAAGGCAAUUUCGAAAUUUGCUGAAUAAACACAAAUAUCUAACGGUCACUCAAACAUGAUAUGCUAUAGAAUUCAGAUCUUAUUCGAACUUCAUACUAAAACAUAACUUAACAUGCUUGAUUUUAAUACAAAUUUGAUUUAAAGUGACUAAAUGUAUAAACAUCAUGAGAGAAGUAGAGUUGUGGCACAAGUAGAAUUACUGCCAAAAUUUCAACACUGCCUUUAUUCCCAUCUUUAAAUUGAAGUUUACAUCAUGAAGGAUUUAGAAUUUGUACCUGAAAUAUGAAAUGAAAGAAAGCAAGGGAGGGUUAGUAUCCAAGCAGCAAAGCAGCAGAACUCAACAAUCAGGAAUAACCAAUGAAACCAAAUUCAAACCCAAGAAUGAGGUUAAGCAGCCCAAAAAAUAACUUUGAAUGAGUAGUACCCAGCAGACUUUCAACCAAUGCUUAAAAAAACUAAAAUUCAAUCCAUCUCAAUGAACCAGAACUUUCUUUAGUAAUUCAAAAACUUCAAGAUCACAGGAAAGUUUAAUAGAACAAUUAAAUUUUCAGUCGUUUUUCUUUUUUCUGGAUUUUUAUCUCUCAAAAUCCGACUUGUGAAAGAAGAGAAGAUGACUUUAUAGGCAAGGCAUUAGGGCAGCUGUAUAAUGUUCAAUUUUGGCCCUCAGUCCUUCUCUAAUUUUUGUUUUUGCUUAGGGGUCCUUUAUUUAAAUUUCAGAGCUUCAAAUCAGCCCCCCUCCCCAGCUUUCUAGAAGCUUCCUAUUCAGUUACUACAGAUUCCCUCACCUAGAUUUACUAAUUUGACCCUAGGCAGCCUGAUUAUUACAGACCCUACCCAACUUUUACAACCCCUUUAAGUUUCUAUACUUACAACUAACCCCCUAUAUAUCCCUAAAGGUUGACAAACAAGACCAAUCAAAACAAAUAACAUCUAAUUAGAUCAAAACAAACUCACAAACCCAGAAACUUUGAACAACUUUAAAGUUUGAAAACAGACUUGAAAUGAACCAAUUUCAUAAUGAACCCAGGAAAACAUGAACUUCAUCGGAACCAUUUAAGCUAAUGAAGACAUGCCCAAGCAGAUUAAUAGAAGAAUCAUCCGCAAAACCAAUUUCAAUUUAGACUAACAUGAUUUUAAUGAUUUUAAGCACCUAAUUUAACUGAGACGACUGCCUGAAAUCUCAACAAACCAGUGAUUAAUACUAACAAUACUGAAAUCUAAAGACAAAAACAACAAAAGAACAGAAGAACAGAAAUGAACUAAACUACACCAAGCCAGGUUCUGUAGAACGAAGGUAAACCUAAACAUGGAAGAGAAACCUAAAGAAAGAGAAGAUGAACGAAACUCUUAUAACCAUAAUGGAAUAAAACUAUACCUGAGAACAUAAUUAAGGGGGUCAAAUCCCAUUGAAUCGAAGCCAUGGGCCGGAACUGUCUUGAAAUGACCGGAAAUUGAGACUAAUUAGUUGUUCUUGCCAAGAACAACUAAUCAAUCUGUAUUUUCGGCUAGUUCGAAGCUUGAAAACCAAUCGAAGGCUUCUGACUUGUUACGGAUUCACGACUUGGGGUCAAUGGCAAGGGUUUUGGAAAAUCGACCAUGAAAUCACGAUGAAGGAGGGUCAAAGAAGACGAAAUAUGAUUUUUGAGUGAUUUAGGGAAGUUAGGCUUUCGAUCUGAUUUUUCGAUCUAACAUUCGAGUCAAGCUAGAGGGAUUUGAGGGUAUAUUGUCAGAGAUCUGGAAAGAGGAAGAUGAAAGGGUUCUGGGGUGUGAAGAUGAGGGUGAUUGGAAUGGUUGCCGCCGGCGGAGGCGGCUAGAAUUUGAGGGCGGCGUCUCUAGAGUUAUUGGCUGGAGACGAUGAGAUUGAGGGAAGGG